rnacentral:misc_RNA from 1 species
GAGUCUUAUGAGAGGAAGAAAAUUUUAAUUGACUCUGAAUUCAAUUCAUAUAACUUCGCAACAUAACUCUAACUCUCUAAAGCCUCAGUCUCUAAACCAGAGCAACGUCACGUUUAAUUAAAUCGGCAGUCACAAACAAAGGAACAGAGGUACAACAUUGUAGGCCAUCGACAUUCCAAAAUCAAAUUCCAUCUAAAACCCAUAAAAAUC